GAAUCAGGUUAUAAAUAUUAAGGGUUCACGGGUAGCGGGACCCUUAUGGAUCCCCAUGGAUACUAGUAGGCUGGUAAAGAGGAAUUAUGUUGUUUAAAGAUUGAAAUGCAAACGCGUGAUAAAUGUUGUAUUAUAAAGUCUAUGUGAUAACGUGAUGAUGAUAAUGUGUUGCUUGUGUAUUGUUUUAUGGAUCUCGCCCAGGUAAAUGGAAAGUAAACGUUUUUAUGAACAAAUGGGUUUAUUACAAAUUAUGCUCCAUUGGUCGUUUUUGUUUUCUAGCCACCCUUACUCCUGUGGCAGUGAGGUAGAGUGAUGUCUUUACUGGGCUAGUGUAGCUCACUCCUUACUUAACCAUUUCAGAUCAGGAAGACGUGGUUCCCGAGCCCGUUCCGCAGGAAGACGGCGAAGGGGACGCCUAAAGAUCCCAUAGUUAUAAUUGUAGUUCUUACUUUCGAGCAUUUAUUUUAAUUAGUUUAUUCCCUCAUUUGUUGAACACGUUUUGGUAUUGCGUAAGAGAUGUUAAUUGCAAUGUUUAAUA
rnacentral:lncRNA from 1 species